rnacentral:rRNA from 1 species
AUUGUGUGAAUACAUAGCACAUUCGAGGUAGACGCAGAGAACUGAAACAUCUAAGUACCUGCAGGAAGAGAAAGAAAAUUCGAUUCCCUGAGUAGCGGCGAGCGAAACGGGAAAAGCCCAAACCAGCAAGCUUGCUUGUUGGGGUUGUAGGACUCCAAUAUGGUAGUUCUUUCAGAUAGUCGAAUGACUUGGAAAAGUCAGUCAAAGAGGGUAAAAACCCCGUAGACGAAAUGUGGAAGACACCUAGGAGGAUCCUGAGUACGGCGGAACACGAGAAAUUCCGUCGGAAUCCGGGAGGACCAUCUCCCAAGGCUAAAUACUCCCUAGUGACCGAUAGUGAACCAGUACCGUGAGGGAAAGGUGAAAAGCACCCCGGAAGGGGAGUGAAAUAGAACCUGAAACCGUGUGCCUACAACAAGUCAAAGCCCGUUAAUGGGUGAUGGCGUGCCUUUUGUAGAAUGAACCGGCGAGUUACGAUUGCAUGCGAGGUUAAGUUGAAGAGACGGAGCCGCAGCGAAAGCGAGUCUGAAUAGGGCGUUUGAGUAUGUAGUCGUAGACCCGAAACCAUGUGAUCUACCCAUGUCCAGGUUGAAGGUGCGGUAAAACGCACUGGAGGACCGAACCCACGUACGUUGAAAAGUGCGGGGAUGAGGUGUGGGUAGCGGAGAAAUUCCAAACGAACUUGGAGAUAGCUGGUUCUCUCCGAAAUAGCUUUAGGGCUAGCCUCGGAAUUGAGAAUGAUGGAGGUAGAGCACUGUUUGGACUAGGGGCCCAUCUCGGGUUACCGAAUUCAGAUAAACUCCGAAUGCCAUUCAUUCAUAUCCG